AUUGAACGCUGGCGGCAGGCCUAACACAUGCCAGUCGAGCGGAUGAAGGGAGCUUGCUCCUGGAUUCAGCGGCGGACGGGUGAGUAAUGCCUAGGAAUCUGCCUGGUAGUGGGGGAUAACGUCCGGAAACGGGCGCUAAUACCGCAUACGUCCUGAGGGAGAAAGUGGGGGAUCUUCGGACCUCACGCUAUCAGAUGAGCCUAGGUCGGAUUAGCUAGUUGGUAGGGUAAAGGCCUACCAAGGCGACGAUCCGUAACUGGUCUGAGAGGAUGAUCAGUCACACUGGAACUGAGACACGGUCCAGACUCCUACGGGAGGCAGCAGCGGGGAAUAUUGGACAAUGGGCGAAAGCCUGAUCCAGCCAUGCCGCGUGUGUGAAGAAGGUCUUCGGAUUGUAAAGCACUUUAAGUUGGGAGGAAGGGCAGUAAGUUAAUACCUUGCUGUUUUGACGUUACCAACAGAAUAAGCACCGGCUAACUUCGUG
rnacentral:rRNA from 1 species